AAGUCGUAACAAGGUUUCCGUAGGUGAACCUGCGGAAGGAUCAUUAAUGAAUUGUUCGAAACCAUGCGGACAUUCUUUAAAUCCGUAUCCACACCGGCCGGGGGGUUCUUUGAUGAACUUUUCGGCCGUAGGGGGUCUUGACUCUCUUCUGGCCUGGAAUUUCUGGGCCGAGAGGGGGGGAGAGACUCCUGUCUGACCUUUGCCUAAAAUUGAUCUUUUUGACUGAAACUUUUUGAUAAAAUCAAAUCAAAAACAACUUUCAACAACGGAUCUCUUGGCUCUC
rnacentral:misc_RNA from 1 species